rnacentral:rRNA from 1 species
CCCGCGCAAGUGGUGGAGCAUGUGGUUUAAUUCGAAGAUACGCGAAGAACCUUACCUAGCCUUGACAUUGAUUGAAUACUUUAGAGAUAGAGUAGUGCCCUUCGGGGAACAUGAAAACAGGUGCUGCACGGCUGUCGUCAGCUCGUGUCGUGAGAUGUUGGGUUAAGUCCCGCAACGAGCGCAACCCUCGUCCUUAGUUGCCAGCAGGUUAAGCUGGGCACUUUAAGGAGACUGCCUUCGCAAGGAGGAGGAAGGUGAGGACGACGUCAAGUCAUCAUGGCCCUUAUGGCUAGGGCUACACACGUGCUACAAUGGGGCGUACAGAGAGUUGCGAUACCGCGAGGUGGAGCCAAUCUCAUAAAGCGUCUCUCAGUUCGGAUUGAAGUCUGCAACUCGACUUCAUGAAGCUGGAAUCACUAGUAAUCGUAGAUCAGCAAUGCUACGGUGAAUACGUUCCCGGGUCUUGUACUCACCGCCCGUCACACCAUGGGAGUUGAUUUCACCCGAAAUUGGGAAG